UUUAAAAUUUAAAUUCCAUUGCUCUCAAUUUGUUUGGUUUCUUACAAUUAAAAAAAUCAUUAUUAAAUACAAGCAAUAUAAUUUUUAAAAAAUUUGAAUUUUGACGUUAUAAAAUUUUCAUAGACAUUUGAACUUUGACCUAGCCCAUCAGUCUGUUUCAAAAAUCAAAUGUAGUCGUCAAGCACCCAAGUUUACCCAGGGCCUGAUGGCUUUUUUUUCACAGCCAAUAGAUCAAUCAACCAGGCAAUUGUAAGAUGCAUAAUCAAAUUGCACUUUUGGAUUAGUUGGGGGUUUUUUUGUUAAAAGGCAUAUUAGUGGCAACCGAGACCAAACCGGGCGCCUUUUCCGAAUAAAGAGGAGGCAGGCAUGACUUGCUGUUUUCAGGGGCGGCGCCAUGGCAACAACGGGGGAGGACAGCGAACUGGAGAGCGGCUGGCAGAGGAAGGAGGCCACCGAGGUGACUAAACGAGGGCAGGGGAUUUGGCUCUUAUUGCAAAGAGAAAGAGGAGGGAGGCGAAGUCUUCCGAGUUUCUCCGGAUUUCCACUUUAGGUGAGGUGGUCUUAAUUUCGCAGGUCACGUGUGUGUGUGUUUUUUUUUUUUUAGGGUGGUUGUUUUUGUUUUUCUGACGAGUUCCUCCUCCCGCGUUCAGGCGGCUACAGAGUCUGAGUGAUGGACUGACUUUAGAGGGCGUGCUCGUCCUCUUUGCUCUCCGCGGCGACGUGGCCGUCCAUGUCGGGCCACAGAUCCAUAUUCCUGCGCAGCGAGACAAUGAUGGGAGCCAGAGAGGUCUUGGCCAGCUGAGACGGGUGGUUGAUGGUGUCGGCGUCCAGGGCUACCAACUGCAGUGUGCGGGCCAACUCGAAGAUGCGCUCGAUCUCGCUCUGAACCUCAGCUACGCCCCGUCCGGCAAACACACGAGAGGAAGCGGGCGAAUUGGGCCCGGCGUGACGCCUGAUGGAGCCAACACAAACAUAAACU